UGAUGCUGUUAGCCAUAGUUAUGACCACGGUCUGGAUUGAUUUCGCUGUGCCUCUCCAGGACAGCUCUGAUCUAUUUGGCUGUCAUAUUUAUAACGGACGAACAUACAGACGCGAUCAAUUAAUCGCUUGAAACAUUUCUCUGCGUCGAAUUUUGAAUAAUAGACCAGCAUUCUAAUCACUUUCAAACCAGUGAAAUCCCUUCUCUGUUUUGUGGUACCCAUUAUUCCUCCAGCUUCUAUGCACACAUAAGAAAAUUUGAAGAUUUUGCUGCCACCAAAUCUGACUGGUCGAGAGACCGCGUGGAGACUCCUGGACGAUGUUGAUGAUGAUAGUUAUGAUGUUGAUGAUAAUGAUGUUGAUAAGGAGAAGAAAGAGAAGGAGGGGAAGAUGGAAAGGCGUAGUUAUUAUCAAUGAUUCUUUUCAGUAAAUGUCCACCCACAUAUAUUACACUGGAAUGGUUUCACUCCCAAGUGACUAAGCAUAUGAUUUUCAAAGCGGCUCUUACGUAAAAAUGCCUUUCCACAAAUCUCACAAGAAGCAGCAUUUCUCUGUAUAUUUCGUGUCUAGGAGAGCAGUAACUUUGAAUAAAAACUGAAGCAGUGUGAAGAACACUUUAGUCAAGGCCAACAAUUACUAUAGUACUGGUGCAAGUCCAUACUGUAAAAUGGUUGGUGAUUGGAAGAGCAUCCAGCUUGUAAAAGAAAUACUAAAAUCAUGAAAUAUUCCAAUAAAGUUUAACUGCAUAUGCAAAACUAAUACUUAACCAUGAUGGUGCUGCACACAAUAGUGGAGUGGUUAGGCAGAAACAUUUCAUCAUGUAUAAUCAGAGAUAUUCCAGUAGUGAUCACCCAAUCAUAUAUAUGCAUAGAAAAGCUGAACAUUAGAAGCAUCAGUUGUGGUGUGCAAGAGAGACGAUUGCGCUGGUAUGGACAUGU